rnacentral:rRNA from 1 species
UACGUAGGGACCGAGCGUUGUCCGGAUUCAUUGGGCGUAAAGAGCUCGUAGGCGGCUGCUCAAGUCGAAUGUGAAAACUCGAGGCUCAACCUCGAGCCUGCAUUCGAUACUGGGCGGCUAGAGUCUGGUAGGGGGAUCUGGAAUUCCUGGUGUAGCGGUGGAAUGCGCAGAUAUCAGAAGGAACACCGGUGGCGAAGGCGGGAUCCUGGGCCAGUACUGACGCUGAGAAGCGAAAGCGUGGGGAGCGAACAGG